rnacentral:rRNA from 1 species
GCAGUAGCCGCGGUAAUACGAAGGGUGCAAGCGUUACUCGGAAUUACUGGGCGUAAAGCGUGCGUAGGUGGUGGUUUAAGUCCGUUGUGAAAGCCCUGGGCUCAACCUGGGAAUUGCAGUGGAUACUGGGUCACUAGAGUGUGGUAGAGGAUAGUGGAAUUUCCGGUGUAGCAGUGAAAUGCGUAGAGAUCGGGAGGAACAUCAGUGGCGAAGGCGGCCAUCUGGGACAACACUGACGCUGAGGCACGAAAGCGUGGGGAGCAAACAGGAUUAGAUACCCCCGUAGUCCCUGUCUCUUAUAC